GGGGGUGCAGGAGAGGAUGUAUUCGCCAGCUGCAUGCGGGAAAACUUAAAAGAGAAAGCUAAGGGCGGGGGUCUUUCACAUCCAGGGAAUUGAUCUCAGGUCAUCAGACUUUGUGGGUGAGUUCCAGCACAGCCAGGGAUACACGGACAGAACCUGUCUCGAGAAAACAAAAGAGACAACAUGCAGAACUCUAACAACUAGCUCUCCCAGCUCCACACAGACUGCCUAUUUCCAGGAGAUAUGCAAUCAAGAGCAAGGGAGGAAUCACCCGGCAGCCUAAUACAACACCAGGAACACUCCAUCUGGGAAGCGUAACUGGUGGCUUUACCAGAAGCGGC
rnacentral:lncRNA from 1 species